UACGUAGGUUCGAAUCCUGCCUC
rnacentral:siRNA from 1 species